CCGGCACCAACAAUCUUUCUGUGGUCAAAGUCACUUAGAUCACAUUUCUGCCCCGUUCCGAUGCGUGGUCUGAUUGACAACUGAAUCUCUUGACCACAUCUGUUUCCUUUUAUGUCCUGAGUUGUUGCUAGGUGGCAGGCUGAUCAGAUAUUUGCAUUAACGGACAGGUGUACCGGGGUACCUAAUAAAGUGGCCACUGGUUGCCGAGGCUUCCAUGAAAUGCAUGAACUACAGUCUCAGACAACAGCACCGUCACUCCGAAGCUUCACGUUUUGUAAUCGUUAACCAACAAGAGUAGGGUGAAUCAUGGAAAUAAUAGGAGCUCUUUGUCAGCUUUCAUUUGGAUUUACUAUUUUAAGACCGGUUGGAAUUUGCCUUUGGAAUGCUAAUUAUUUUGCAUAAAUUUCUUCUGGAUAAGGGACAGACCAGCCAGCUUAGUGAUCUUGCAGUUACAGUAAUGUUUAGCAGGCCAGCCCUCUUCAGCCAGAGACACAGCCAGCUUCAUCGCACAUCGACGUGCUGAGAGUUUUCCACUCGCCGCUCGGCUCAUCGCGGUACAAGUGUUACUUGAAGUGAGCCAGAGGUUUGCAAGCUCUCAAUGCACAGAAGCCCCAGCAACGUCACAGACGAACUUUAUUAAAAUCCAGUAAGUCAGGUUGCCUCUGUCGCUCAGAUCAAAAACAAGGAGGGGGUAUGGGGGUAGAGGUUGAUCACGGGGGACAGGAAUCCUAACGCUUUGCGCAGCCUGGCUCUUAAAUCAAUCAGGAAAAUGGACAGGCUCACACUUUGAUAUUCACGCGGAUGUACAAGCUGCCUUCUGCUCCCAAGCAUCUGCAAAGGAUUGUGGAAUAAACAGAUCCAUAUGCUCUGCAUGCCUCAAAUUGACACCAGCCAUAUAUCCGCUUGUCAGCCGCUGUUUCCAUUAUCAGGUAUGGGCACAGGGCAUGGGGAGAGAAAGGGCAAUCACUUUCUACACUUACAUCGUCAGAAAACUCGCCCAUUUUCCUGGAAAUCAUAAACAGGUGCAACCCUGAACUGUGCUACUGUUGAGACACGGCGCACUCGAGGUACGGACAGUCAUCAGUCAGCUUGUGAGCCGCCGAAACAAGCGACCCUCUCACCACUGUCGGAGGCCGAGACGAAAGUGCCUUCACUUGAAUUCGUUCUUGUGUUUGUUUUUCUUCCCGGAUACCGCACAGACAAUCCACCACAGGUUAAAUUCUUGAGAGUCAGAUGUCGAAAUGUGGACCCACUAAGUAAAGAGCAGGCACGUCUUGAGCAGCUCUCGAUGCUAGACAGCUACUGCAAGCCGAUCAGAAGCAAACCUACAAAUGAUUAUCAGUAAAUCUGCCAGUAUAUGUAGAAAUUAAUGGAUACCUGGCAGUGAUUAAACGGCAUUAAUCUAGCAGAAGGGUUCGGGUCACCUCAUAAACCAAAAGGGCAAAGUGCAAGUGUUUUAUGAACAUCAUUUGAACCCUGUGAGAUUAAAUUACUGCCUUCAAAACAUCACGCCUUGAUUCAGCACUUUAGACCUGGUAAAAGUUCUUUUGGCUGCAGUCAUUGCUGGAAUUGGCAUCUCUGAUCUUUAGCACCUCACCGUGAAUUUACCUGAAAAAGGAUAACUUACUACGUGCAUCCAUGUCUCCGCUAGUAGGUGCAGAGCCCAAGACUGCAACAGGGAGAACGUGAAGAUUUGAGAAAGAAAUUAUCUAUGUCGCAGUAAAACUUGCCCAGUAACAAGCAGUUUUCGGAAGCCCCUGAGCUGAAUUUCAGAGCUCAGCAUCUGACCUGCUAUUGGGAGCUGUUCUAUGCCGAUCCCUGCUCGACGUAUUCAUGAACAUCACCAUUUACUGACCUAUCCAGUGGCCAAAGACCAAGAAACAGGAAUAAGAUGAGGUGUACUCCAGCUCCACUUUGCCAUAUGUGGGAAUUCUGGAGUCAUACGGCAUGGAAACAGGCUCUUCUGUCCAUAUCAAUCACGCCUACCAACGUGGCCAUACGUGUUACUCCAAUCUGCCAGCCUUUGGUCCCUAAGUUCUAAUCUUUUCCUAUCCAUGUAUCUGUCCAACUGUCAAUAAGUUGUCACUGAAUCUGCCUCAACAACUUCCACUGACAAGUCAUUCCACAUAGAGACCAUUCUUUGUGUAGAAAAAGUAGCCCCUCAAGUUCCUAUUAAAUCUUACCCCUCUCACCUUAACUGAAUCUCCAGCUUAAUACGAACAUUGCUGAAGCCUUUAAUUUAGGAGGCCAAGAUGCAGAAGAGGAGGAGAUAGGAAUUGACAGACUUGAUGGGCUGAAGGGCCUAAUUUCUCUGCCUUAUUGUCUUAUGGACAAACCCCCCAACCAUCCCCCCCAUGGAAAUAUACUACCAUUGUGAUGGAAUGGUAAUCUAGAGGUUUCAACCAAUGAAACCAAAUAUAUACAUUCACAUCUCCCUCAUGGCAAACAGGAAUUAAUAUUUAGCUAAUUAAAUACAAAUAAAUUUGAAAUUUAAAAUUAGCUAUUAUUCAUUAUGGGCAUCCCAUGAAUGUCCACCUGUUUCACCCAACCCAUUAUGCCAUCCUCACUUAGUCUGUCCAAUUUAUAACCCCAGACUCACAAAAACAUAGUUUAAACCAUAAGACAUAGUAGUAGAAUUAGGCAAUUCGGCCCAUGAAGUCUUCUCCACCAUUCCACCAUGACUGAAAUUAUUCUUAAUUGUCUGCUGAAAUAGCUCAGAUAACCACUCACUUUAAGUUCCACUUGGAAUAGACAUUAAACAUCAGCCUUUCUAGUGAUGCCAAGAUCCAAUGAAUUGAUUAAGCAAGUAUUUUUAUGUGAGUCUUCAGUAUGUUUUAGAUCAAGUCCAGGAGCAUUACAGCACAAGCACUGUUGAUUGAUUCUGUUAUUUUACAAGUGCUCUAAAAAUCUUGUUCCAACUACAAUCCUAAAGCACCAUAAAGAUAUUUGCUAAAUUAACUAGAUAGUAGGCUCCCGUUUAUCCCUAUCAUCCACCUUCCACUGUCUCCCAACUCCACCCGCCAGCAAAUAGCAGUACUUGCCCAUCACCUUUCACCCCUCGUCAGUCCACCAAUCACCUCAGGAUCCUGUGGCACCCUCUACCCCCCUUCCUCUUUGUACAACCAAUCUCACCUCUCCAAUCUUAGUCCCGAUGCACGCUUUCAACCUGAAACAUUGACAAUUCCAUUCCCCAUACACACCCCCACCAGAUGCUGCUUAGCCCAAUGAAUUCCUCCAGCAACACACAAAAAUAAAAUCCUGCAGAAACUCAGCAGGUCAAGCAGCAUCUAUAGAGGAAAAUGAACAGUUGACGCUCCGGGCCGAGACCCUCCAUCAGGAAUCACAUUCCUCCAGCAGGUAAAUUUGUUGCCCCAGAUUACCCCAAAGAGCACUACUGGACAAACAGACUAAAACCAGCGAAGUAACAGGUGGGAUGAUUCCACCAAUCAUGGACAGCUUACUGGUCUUCUCUCCUGGUAGCCUGAGGGAUAUGAUUAGUUAAAUUCUUGUUGGAUGUAAUUUGGCUGUGGAAGUGGGUGUGACCUAAAAAGGAGAGAAUGUCCACUGCACACUCGACAAAUCAAGAUUACUAAUGUACUUUUCAAAGCAGCGGCUAUAAUACAAAAAAAAUGGAGUGCAUAGAAAAUUUAAAAUUUGUAAAGUGAGGUCAAGGCUUUUUUAUGUUCUGAACAAUUUGCAGCCUUACCCUCCUUCUAAUCCUUAAAGGAGCAGUAACUAAUUGAUGCAGAGCAGAAUUGUUAUUGCUCAAGCUCAUUCUACAUUUCCUGAGCUCUUAGCGAUGGAUGCCCAUUUUAAACCAUAAGGCAAAACCUUACUCUGAGGUUGAUAGCUCCCCUGAUUUCCCGUGAUAAAUGGACCUCAAGCUGACUUUGGCCAGCAUCUGUGAAGUAAUCGACUACAAAGUACAGAAUAAUGCAGCUGAGGUUAACGAGGCGAGCUGGAACACGCAGAUGAAAAAUGAAUGCCACGGUUCGCCUUAAUGGCGGACAACUGAACUAGGUGAAGCUUCCUGUUUUGCUUAGU